UACAGAGGGUGCAAGCGUUAAUCGGAUUUACUGGGCGUAAAGCGUGAGUAGGUGGCUCGCUAAGUCGGUUGUGAAAUCCCUCGGCUCAACCGGGGAACUGCGUCUGAGACUGGAAGGCUUGAAUUCGGGAGAGGGAUGUGGAAUUCCAGGUGUAGCGGUGAAAUGCGUAGAUAUCUGGAGGAACACCGGUGGCGAAGGCGACAUCCUGGACCGGUAUUGACGCUGAGGCGCGAAAGCCAGGGGAGCAAACGGG
rnacentral:rRNA from 1 species